rnacentral:ncRNA from 1 species
GUGAUAUCUUCCCGUGAGUCCCUGAUCUUGAUCGUACACAUUUGCGUGUAUGAUUAGUGUACUGUCAAAUCGGGGGCGUCACAGCUAACUCCAAAAACCCGUCCUCAGUACGGAUUGCAGGCUGCAACUCGCCUGCAUGAAGCAGGAAUCGCUAGUAAUCACCGGUCAGCCAUACGGCGGUGAAUCC